rnacentral:rRNA from 1 species
AUGGAGGGGAAAACUACUCUAUGUUUUCUCACUGUGCUUCUGCUGCUAGGAAAUUGUGCUGAUGCUGAGACCUGCACAGAGCACCGUGCUAACAAGGGCGCAGCGUGCAUAAAUGAAUAUUGUUGGAAAGACUGCGCCAGAGACUACCAUGGACAUUAUGUCAAGAAUGCUUACUGUACUGGCGUUUACCCCUUCACAAAAGUCUAUUGUGUCUGCGACGUCUGUGAUGAGUAG